rnacentral:lncRNA from 1 species
CUUUAUUUAUGGCUUCCAGUUUUACUGUUUAGUAGUUUCCUCUUGAGUCUGGCUUCUAUUAAAGUUGAUUAAGAUCCUGUAAAAAUUAGGUUGAACUUGCCACAUUUUUUAUGUCUUUCCUCCAGAAGGGCAGAAACUUCAAUAGCUAGCUCUCUGUAUUGUGUGAAGAAGGCUUUUAAUUAUUAGAAAUCUGACUAUGACUGUAAAUAACACCAUCUCCCACAGUAAUCCAUGGGCUCUGGCUCUGUUUUAAUGUUCUUUAGGAGAGUGACCACUGGCUGGUACAGCAUAUGCAGAACCAGGGCCACACAGAGCAGCAUGGUCAUGAGCAGGCCCCCAAGGACCGCCUCAGCUGUUCUGAACCAAUGCAGGUUGCCAGGACGCAGAUGGCUUCAUGGACCAAACAACACUAGUGAGCAUCUUCAUGAACCAGCCCAUGCCUGGCUUUCAAACUGAAGAUGCAGCUGUUACUACUGACAGGCCAUAGCUGUGGUCCUGAGCCUGGGUCUCCUGCUCAUUUUCCACCCAGGACAGUGGUGAGAGCAUGGGAUGCUGCAUGGUGAGUACCAUGACCUCAGCCUCUUGCCAGGCUGAUAACGGCUCCUCUUCAGUCUCCUGCCUUUGCUUCCAUGGAUAUAUGCUGACUACUCAGAAUGUGUGUUUCAGUUCCUGGCCUAAACAUUGUAUUUGCUAACUAAAGAGAGGA